GAUGAACGCUGGCGGAGUGCCUAAUACAUGCAAGUCGAGCGAACAGACGAGGAGCUUGCUCCUCUGACGUUAGCGGCGGACGGGUGAGUAACACGUGGAUAACCUACCUAUAAGACUGGGAUAACUUCGGGAAACCGGAGCUAAUACCGGAUAAUAUAUUGAACCGCAUGGUUCAAUAGUGAAAGACGGUUUUGCUGUCACUUAUAGAUGGAUCCGCGCCGCAUUAGCUAGUUGGUAAGGUAACGGCUUACCAAGGCAACGAUGCGUAGCCGACCUGAGAGGGUGAUCGGCCACACUGGAACUGAGACACGGUCCAGACUCCUACGGGAGGCAGCAGUAGGGAAUCUUCCGCAAUGGGCGAAAGCCUGACGGAGCAACGCCGCGUGAGUGAUGAAGGUCUUCGGAUCGUAAAACUCUGUUAUUAGGGAAGAACAAAUGUGUAAGUAACGAUGCACGUCUUGACGGUACCUAAUCAGAAAGCCACGGCUAACUACGU
rnacentral:rRNA from 1 species